CAUCGCCGCGGUAACACGGAGGGUGCAAGCGUUAAUCGGAAUUACUGGGCGUAAAGCGUGCGCAGGCGGUUCGUUAAGUCUGUUGUGAAAGCCCCGGGCUCAACCCGGAAAUUGCUCUGCAUACUGGCAGACUUGAGGGUGGCAGAGGUUUGUGGAAUUCCUGGUGUAGCGGUGAAAUGCGUAGAUAUCAGGAGGAACACCCAUGGCGAAGGCAGCAAACUGGGCCACAUCUGACGCUGAGGCACGAAAGCGUGGGGAGCAAACAGGAUUAGAUACCCCCGUAGUCCCUGUCUCUUAUACA
rnacentral:rRNA from 1 species